rnacentral:snoRNA from 1 species
UUACCAUGAUGAUUUAAAUAUUCACCAUCUUUCGACUGAUAGCAAUGAUGGUACUUUUUCUUACUGAAAUCUAUU